rnacentral:rRNA from 1 species
UGGGGAAUAUUGCGCAAUGGGGGGAACCCUGACGCAGCCAUGCCGCGUGAAUGAAGAAGGCCUUCGGGUUGUAAAGUUCUUUCGGUAUUGAGGAAGGUUGAUGUGUUAAUAGCACAUCAAAUUGACGUUAAAUACAGAAGAAGCACCGGCUAACUCCGUGCCAGCAGCCGCGGUAAUACGGAGGGUGCGAGCGUUAAUCGGAAUAACUGGGCGUAAAGGGCACGCAGGCGGUUAUUUAAGUGAGGUGUGAAGGCCCUGGGCUUAACCUAGGAAUUGCAUUUCAGACUGGGUAACUAGAGUACUUUAGGGAGGGGUAGAAUUCCACGUGUAGCGGUGAAAUGCGUAGAGAUGUGGAGGAAUACCGAAGGCGAAGGCAGCCCCUUGGGAAUGUACUGACGCUCAUGUGCGAAAGCGUGGGGAGCAAACAGGAUUAGAUACCCUGGUAGUCCACGCUGUAAACGCUGUCGAUUUGGGGGGUUGGGGUUUAACUCUGGCGCCCGUAGCUAACGUGAUAAAUCGACCGCCUGGGGAGUACGGCCGCAAGGUUA